CAGUCGCCGCGGGAAUACGUAGGUCCCGAGCGUUGUCCGGAUUUAUUGGGCGUAAAGCGAGCGCAGGCGGUUAGAUAAGUCUGAAGUUAAAGGCUGUGGCUUAACCAUAGUACGCUUUGGAAACUGUUUAACUUGAGUGCAAGAGGGGAGAGUGGAAUUCCAUGUGUAGCGGUGAAAUGCGUAGAUAUAUGGAGGAACACCGGUGGCGAAAGCGGCUCUCUGGCUUGUAACUGACGCUGAGGCUCGAAAGCGUGGGGAGCAAGCAGGAUUAGAUACCCCGGUAGUCCCUGUCUCUUAUACA
rnacentral:rRNA from 1 species